rnacentral:lncRNA from 1 species
GUUUGUAGUCUCUCAGGAUAUUUUAGAAUUAUACAUCAUAUUUAUGAAUUGUGAUGUGUACUAGCACAUAAUGGUAGAUUGCAGCAUCUUUGUUAGUUGUUGCUCACACAGGGCUCCCUCAGAGACCUAUGGGAACCAGGUACAAGCUCUCAGGAAUGAGUUAACUUGGAUUGAACUCGUUCAUGCUUAAGAAAGAAGAUGGACUGUGGUGUCUACAGCUGCUUCACUGCACUGCAGGAGAAAGAGACUUCAGAGACCCAAAGAAAUGCUCGAGUGAAAUAAGUGAAAUAAAUGGGACUUUUACUGCACUGAAAAACAUUUUGCUUUUUCUGAUACAUACGUUGUUCCAAGCUCAUUUUUCCCUUGAGCCUCAAUGCAGUGUUGCCGCGUGAUAAAGAGAAUGGAUCAGCAGUCAGUGCAUGAAUGCUGUGAGGGGCUCAGACUCAUAAAACUAUGGCCAUAUUACUAACAGACAUACAUAACGUGAAAGCUGUUCCACCAGCGUUAACCUUGGAAUGUGCUGACUGUUGAUUGCUGAGACUUACUUAAAGCUUCUGAAAUUGUAAAUUCUGAG